GGUUAUUUAGUUUAUAUAAAACCAUUGUUUUGAAAACAUUAGAAAGAGGUGUCCCUCUAAUAAUCA
rnacentral:tRNA from 1 species